AGCUUUGCACAGUGGCAGCAUCGUAGCCAAUGAGGUUUACCUGAGGCGCGAUGAUUGCUAAGUGAACCUUGGUCCACAUUUUAAAUAACAAUACAACCUGCCCUCCCCUCUCUCCACUUGCUCUCACUCUGCUGAUGUGUGAUUUGUUAGUUUGAUGUCGAUGAUGAC
rnacentral:snRNA from 1 species